AUUGAACGCUGGCGGCAGGCCUAACACAUGCAAGUCGAACGGUAACAGGAAACAGCUUGCUGUUUCGCUGACGAGUGGCGGACGGGUGAGUAAUGUCUGGGAAACUGCCUGAUGGAGGGGGAUAACUACUGGAAACGGUAGCUAAUACCGCAUAACGUCGCAAGACCAAAGAGGGGGACCUUCGGGCCUCUUGCCAUCGGAUGUGCCCAGAUGGGAUUAGCUAGUAGGUGGGGUAACGGCUCACCUAGGCGACGAUCCCUAGCUGGUCUGAGAGGAUGACCAGCCACACUGGAACUGAGACACGGUCCAGACUCCUACGGGAGGCAGCAGUGGGGAAUAUUGCACAAUGGGCGCAAGCCUGAUGCAGCCAUGCCGCGUGUAUGAAGAAGGCCUUCGGGUUGUAAAGUACUUUCAGCGGGGAGGAAGGGAGUAAAGUUAAUACCUUUGCUCAUUGACGUUACCCGCAGAAGAAGCACCGGCUAACUCCGUGCCAGCAGCCGCGGUAAUACGGAGGGUGCAAGCGUUAAUCGGAAUUACUGGGCGUAAAGCGCACGCAGGCGGUUUUGUUAAGUCAGAUGUGAAAUCCCCGGGCUCAACCUGGCACCUGCAUCUGAUACUGGCAAGCUUUGAGUCUCGUAGAGGGGGGUAGAAAUCCCGUGUGUCGCCGUGAAAUGCGUACAGACCGCUAGGAAAUUCGGCGGCCAAAGCAGCUCCUCUGGGCGAAUACCGAUUCUCUGGCCCUCCUUCGUCGGGAGCUAAACAUGAUUUAAUACCCCUAGCAUCCACCGUCUAAUCCCUCCUCGCCCAUUCCCUCCUUAUAUUUCCUCACUUUUAAGAAAAAAAAACAAUACAUAUUUUUUCCCCCCCCAGCCGU
rnacentral:rRNA from 1 species